rnacentral:rRNA from 1 species
AGAGUUUGAUCCUGGCUCAGAAUCAACGCUGGCGGCGCGCCUAACACAUGCAAGUCGAACGAGAAAGCCGGGGCAACCUGGUGAGUAAAGUGGCGUACGGGUGAGUAACACGUGGAUGAUCUACCUCCUUGUGGGGAAUAACCCUGGGAAACCGGGGCUAAUACCGCAUAAGUCCGAGAGGAGAAAGCAGCAAUGCGCUGGGAGAGGAGUCCGCGGCCGAUUAGCUAGUUGGCAGGGUAAAAGCCUACCAAGGCAAAGAUCGGUAGCCGGCCUGAGAGGGCACACGGCCACACUGGCACUGAAACACGGGCCAGACUCCUACGGGAGGCAGCAGUGGGGAAUCUUGCACAAUGGGGGAAACCCUGAUGCAGCGACGCCGCGUGAGCGAUGAAGCCCUUCGGGGUGUAAAGCUCUUUCGGCAGGGAAGAUGAUGACGGUACCUGCAGAAGCAGCUGCGGCUAACUACGUGCCAGCAGCCGCGGUAAUACGUAGGCAGCAAGCGUUGUUCGGAGUUACUGGGCGUAAAGGGUGUGUAGGCGGUUGCUUAAGUUUGGUGUGAAAUCUCCCGGCUCAACUGGGAGGGUGCGCCGAAUACUGAGUGACUCGAGUGCGGGAGAGGAAAGUGGAAUUCCUGGUGUAGCGGUGAAAUGCGUAGAUAUCAGGAGGAACACCGGUGGUGUAGACGGCUUUCUGGACCGUAACUGACGCUGAGACACGAAAGCGUGGGUAGCAAACAGGAUUAGAUACCCUGGUAGUCCACGCCCUAAACGAUGCACAUUUGGUGUGGGUCAUUCAGUUGAUCCGUGCCGGAGCUAACGCGUUAAAUGUGCCGCCUGGGGAGUACAGUCGCAAGGCUGAAACUCAAAGGAAUUGACGGGGGCCCGCACAAGCGGUGGAGCACGUGGUUCAAUUCGACGCAACGCGAAGAACCUUACCUGGGCUCGAACGGCUGGCUAACGGCGGUGGAAACAUCGCUACCCCGCAAGGGGGUCCAG